UGAGCCCAGGUCCUGGGACCCUGUGAGGCGGAAGUCGGGUGCGUUUGAGCAGAGUCUGCUGUAGACGUCUCUGCUCACCGUCUCUCUUUCUCAGGGUCUACGGGGAGAAGUGGAGACCCGUUAACAAAGGGAUGGGAAGAAAUCUGUGUCUGCAGAGAGGAGACAGCAGACCAGCAACAGCAGAAAGCAAAGGACUCUACAGGAAAAGCCACCUGGGAACCAUCAGAGAGAGGUCCGUCUAAACAGUCAGUGGUCCCGGAAUGAGGUCUGCUCAUCACAGGGAAGCAGAAAGCCUGCUGGUUUCACACUCUAUGGGGGAGAUUCCUGGCUUCCGGCUUCAUUGCUUACAAAAUGCCCUGCUUGAGUUUCUGUCCUGACGGAACAAGAUGGGAUGGGAAGAAACCUAUGUCUGCAGAGAGGAGACAGUUGACCAAUACCAGUAAAAAGCAAAGGACUCGGCAGAAAAAGCCACCUGGGAACCAUCAGGGAGGGGCAAGCUACACAUCCUGAUCUGCCCUACUCCACACCUGAGAUAGAUCCACACCCAAUCCUCCAAUGAUGGAUUGUGACCUGGAAGUGUAAGCCAAAUACAACCUUGUCUCCCCAA
ensembl:antisense Gm42817 predicted gene 42817